rnacentral:lncRNA from 1 species
CCCAAGGCCCCACCUCCUCCCUCAGCGCAGCUUUGCAGGCGCUGGGGCUCCCAAAGGACGGAGCUUUGAAUCCACCUGGGAGGCUUAAGAGAAAGUGCUGAGUCCCCCAUGCCCUACCCCUGAGACUGCUGACAGGCAUCGCUGAGGGCUGCAGCUUUGGAAUCGGGCAUCUUCUGAGGAAGAGAAAGGCACCACAGCCACGGCACAGAAGACUAGGGGAGCCAGCUUCAGCUUUUGCCAAGUGUUUGGUUCAUCUGACGCUUGGUGAAGUCACAUGCAUCUGCUGCCCUGACAUCCAGGAGAAGGAACCAUCUGGCUCAAGAAUCCAUUACAGAAGAGGCCGUCAGCACCCGUCACUUGUGCCUCCCCAUGUCCAGCUGAGUUUCUUUCUCUCUGCUCAACUCCAAAGUGUUGAUGAGUCAAUCGAUGCGGCCCUUGCCACUGCGUCUCACUGGGAAUUCCGGUGAGGUGGCCGUCUGCCUGCGUGCGUGCCAGCUAGCUCCUCGAUCAAUGCACACUUCUUUAAAGUGCUGCAGGAUGCUGCUGGAAAGGAUUUGGUCUGGCUCAUUUGGCUGUUGAAAAAGGCCACGCCUGCUUCAAGUUCCUCCAGUACUCGGGGAGACGGGUGUCACUAUGCUGCCCAGGCUGGUCUCUCGUGGCUUCAAGAGAUAUUCCCACCUUGGUCUUCCAGAGCACUGGAAUUGAAGGUUUACAGAGGGUUCCCAGAUGCCGUCAGUGGAAUUCCCAACCUUGGAGGACAGAGAAAUUGCUCUCCAAUAAUGCCCAGUCUAAGAAGUAAUGUUUUCACGAAGAACUAGUGCACCUUCAGAAGACCUGCAGUGGAUAGGGAGUAUGUAAGGGGCUAAUUUUGAUGCCAGCAACCCUAGGAUUGGUUGCUGGGGAAAGGCAUAGAGUUCUAGGUGCAAUGUUUUAAGGGGAAGACUUACACUAUGAAGCUAGCCCAGAAGAGGGUGACUAGAGUACUGAGGAGUUUCUACCUGGAAGGGCUGUAAGACAACUGCUAUGUUGUGAGCGGCUCUAUGGAGAGGCCCAUGUGGAGGGAAGUGAGGAAGGCCUCUGGCCAACAGUCCAGGAGGAAGUGAAGCCCUCAGUCCAACAGCCUGUGUGGAACUGAACCCUGCAAACAACUCUGUGUGUGAGCUUGGAAGUGGAUCCAUAUUCAGUCAAACCUUGAGAUGGGACACCAUGCUCUGCUAACACUUGAUUGUGGUCCCAGCUAGGCCACUGCUGAAGUCUUGACUCAGAGAAACGAUGAUAUAGUAAAUGUUUGUUGUUUCAAGUUGGUAAGUUUUGGGAUAAUUUUUUAUAUAGUGAUAAUUUUUUAUAUACUUUAAAAUAACACAUUGCCCUAUCCUUUGGUUACACUUUUCUCUUGGAACUCUGCUUGCCCAUAUAUUACAGAAAUAUUUUUCAGAUCAUGGGCUGAAAGGUGGAUUAUGGAUGCAAUGUUUAAAUUUAGCAAUGUCAUUUAUGACUGUUCAUAUGAGCUUUGCUGCAUAAAAUGUUGAUAUUAAUUUGUUUCCCUUUAAGACAUUCUUAAUGUUUACCUCUCAGUAUUUUCUUUGUAAUCAAUUAAUGUAAGAUGAAUAUAGUUUGUAGGUUUUACCUUUCUUGAUUCGUAUACAAAACACACAACAUCCAACCAUUGUUAUUUAAAGAUUAUCUAGGAGGAGAUGAUGGAAACUCUGUUUUGGGCCACCUUCUUUACACAUUGGGUCUAUUUCCCCUAACUUGAGUAUAUAUUAAACUAGUGGGGGAUUGAGCUACAAAAAUGCUACUUGGUGAGAAUUUUAUUAAUACAAAUACUCAACUCUGAAGUUACGUUUUUGUGGAAAGUUAUCACUUUGGAAUUUGAAUUUUCUUGGAGCUAAGCCACUGGUAGUUGUAAAAGCUACACCUGUAAAUUUGCUCCCUAGAAGAUACUUUCGUUUAGUGACCACUUGUUUCUCUGUGGAUAAAUUCAAUUAUAAAUUACAAUCGAAUUGACGUUUUCAUAGCAUCCUUCACUCUCCAAGUAUCUCAAGUCCUCUGUGAAUUAUAAAGUAAUUACAGUGCUCAAAGGACAGUUUCAUAAUUGUGUCCAUGAGCACAGACUUUCCUCUAUGUUCGAGAAGGGCUCAUUCCCAGCCGGGAACAUUAAGUUGGAUUUUAUUGAGACUGGGGACUGCUAGUCCAGACAGCUGGGUGAUCCCCUGCGCUAUUUUGAAAAGUAUCCUGGGAUCUUUAAUUUCCACCUGGAUGGUCAGGGAGGUGAGAGAACGGCCCUCACUGGGUGUGACCUUGUAUCCCACUUGGGGUCUUGAACCAGGGGACCCCCAACCCCAGAGGUGAGACAUGCAAUAUGGUCAAUUAUACAACCUCUUAAUUAUUUUUUGCUGAAUCUCAAGUGAGUUCUCAUGGCCUGCUCUCUCCCGGGUGGGUUCAGAAGGUGGCCAAGAAGAAAUGUUAGAAAAUUCCCAGAGAGCCAUUUCAUGAGAAUGUUUUCUUUGGUUUAUACCUGAUACUGUUUUGUUUUUGUUGUUGCUUUUUAAUAACUUUUUUUUCUUUUUGUGGGGUCAUUUGCGUAAUACACAGGUGACGAACACUCAAGGUUAUUUGGUCGCAUGCCACCAAAUAACUUUCCUUUGGCACAUCUGCAGUGAAGGAGUCUUUCUGUCUGUCUCCUUUUGUUCCUCAUCAUCUAUUAGCUUGGCACAGCUGACUGAGCUGUUAAAUGAUUACUGCAUAUUUUGUACCUCACCUUGAGAGGCUUUGGUAUAAAAAGGUGCUAAUUAAGCUGAAGCUUCUGGCCCUCUUGCCUAUGUGGGCCCCAGGAAGCGAAGCAAAAAGACUUUAGGGAGCUGGAGCUUGUGUGUGUGUGUGUGUGUGUGUGUGUGUGUGUGUGUGUGUGUGUGUGUGUGUGUGUUUCGUUUUCAGCAUUUUGAGGAAUUGUUACUGGAACUUAUAAAAUAAUUGUUUUAGACCUUAUAAACACAGCAAAUUCUUCAAACUACGUAUGAGGCUGACUCAAAAAGCCACGUAAAGGUAGCUUGGCGAAUCAACUAACUGCUGACCAGUUUGUGGUGAUCGUAAGUCUAUAUAUGCUGGAUUUGGCGAUCGUAAGUCUAUAUAUGCUGGAUUUGAAUAUUUUCUGUAUUUAAAGAAAAAUAAGUACAUUCUAAGAAUAGUUGUCAUCUCCCUCUGUAGACUUGCCCCGUAGAUAUUUGAAAUGGGGAUUAACAUAUUUAAGAGUAGCAGGAAGUGCUAUUUCAUCAGUGUCUAGAAUGGGAGGCGAAUUCAGUCCCUGCCUGGACUUGUUGACUAGCUCGCUGGGUUGUGAAAACCACGGCAUUCUCCUGGGAAUUUGUUCCAGGGCACUGACUGCAUUUCUUCUGAAGCUAAAGCACUUAGCUUUGCUUCCAUGCCUUUUAAUAUAAUUUGUAGGCUUCAGCAGAUUUCUAAAGUACACCACUUGAUAUCUUUCACAGCUCAAGGUAAAUUCUGCAGCACGAACUUAUAGAAUUUUUUUCUUUUACCUGGGGUGAGAACAUACCUUUUCCUAGUGCUAUUUUUUUUUUCUGGGCUACCUUUCAUCUGUUUACAUGAAUUCCACUUCUUCUCGCUGUGUUAAAGAAAUCCCCUAAGCUGUCUACAUAGGUGUGAAACUUUUGGUUGUGAUUUCCUUGAAGUUAGUUGGAACUGGAACAUUUUUUUCUGUGUCCUGAAUGGCUCACACAUUCCCUAACACAGAAUGGAUACUCAGCGAACAGUUGUUGAAUCAGUGAACGGUAAUGGCUCAGUUCUGUCAGACAAUGGAUUGAAUUAUUUUUACACCUUUAAUUCACUCAUGGACUGAAUUAACCUACUCAUGGGCUGUUUGGGGCAUCAAGUGAUAUUUAUACAUUUCUGAAGAAUGUGGAAUCACCAGGGUUAACAGUGUUUGCAGGUGGCGUUCGAUUGCAGGGGCCCAAGGAACCACGGCUGAAUUCCGCAUGGACAUAGGCCAUUUUCCACCAGCAAAGUUAUGAGAACUUUUUUUGUUUUGGUAACUGAUGUGAAAUUUUCAGUUCCGAAUGACAUCCAGAAACUCUCCUUCUGCAGCAGAUGAAUGUUUUGAGGGAAUUUGAGAGGAGGGUUUGUCUUUUAUCUCUCACCUGCACGAGGACACUUGCAGUCUCUUAAGAGAUGUUCUCUUUUUGAAAUGGUGGAAGGACAGAAGCAUCAGCCAGCCCGUUCAUGCUUGGGGACAGAGAGGGAGCUCAGAGCUUAGGGGAGCACAGGUCACUCUAAUGAAUGACAGCUGUAAUAAUAAAGACAUGCCAUCCAUGCUACUUUUUGCAGAAACCAGAAACAUCCUUGUGAAAGUUAAAGGGAAAAGAAAAACGUGUACUUUGAGGGGGGUGUUAACGGGGGACAGGAGGUGGCGACAUAAAAGACUGGUUUAAUGUGUCUCGUUGUAGCCCCUAAGGCUUUACCUGACCCCAUCACUGUCACAACACCUUCUUCGGGACUGACAGUCUUGGUAAUUGAUGGGUUGGUGGGGGCUUUUUUCUGCAAACACAUUAAGGCAGGAGGGAAUACUCUGGCCCCCACCUCCCCACGCCUGGCACGGGGGACCUGGAGGCGAGCAGACACCAGGCCCGGCGGUGUUGGGGGCAGAAGGGAUCAAUUCUGUCAACCAGACUGCCCAGCUACUGUCAGGCACUGGGACCCUUCACCUGCUCCUUGGAGUCAUUAGAACUCCCAAAUCUCUUUGCAGGCCUUUUCUAUUAGACACAUACUCCCAUGUUUUGAUUUUUUGCUCCCAAAGUCAUUUUUUUAAAUAAUUACCUGCAUCGAACCACACUUACCAUCUGUGGGCUGAGAGCGGGCAAAUGAUUUAUUAGUCUUGGUUUCUAACGGUGCUGAGCAGCUUGGGAUCGAUCUUGCUGGUGACACACUCGGCAGAUGCACCGAUGGGUGGGAGGGUCAAUGUCAGGAUGAAGCUUCUUGCGGAGCUGACAUGCACGUGGGGACCCCAGGUGUGGUGUUUAGUUGGUAGACUGUGACAUUGCAAAAGUGGAGUCUCAAGCCAUGGCGGAUAACAGGCGGCAGAAAAAGCAGUGAGGGAGCUUCUUGGGAUGUUUUACUUUAAGUAGAAAGUAAAACUGUGCAUGAAAAGAGGGGACAGAGUAUGCAACCCAAAUCAUCGCCAAGGCUCUUGGUUUCUUCUGUGCACACUGCCUGCCUUGUAUCCAAGCGUUUGACUGUGCAGAGGCCAGUCAUACUGGGGGACCCUGAGCACUACCCUUGGCAUUUGGGUAUAUCCUGAUCAAUAUAGCCAUUUCCACUGCUUGACAUUAUGUUUUGGGGGCUAGUUUUUUAAAGAUCAAUGAUUGAAUUGCUGCUCGGCUGAUUGGAUAUGUCUUCUCGGAGACUCACCUGUCCUCCCCGAAGAGAUGCUGACUACACAACAGCAGUCACUGUGCUGGGCACACGGGCAGUGUUCAGGAGACGUGGCUUCCUUUCUUCUUCUUUCAUUUCUUCCUGCCCAGAACAGCAAGGCUGAGACUGAUAAUAAAAUUCCUGGAACAUGGAGAAACUCAUGUGGGGAGAAAAGAAGAAAUGUAUUGUGACUUCCAUGGGCUUUUGGCACUUUUGGACCUCCCUCCUCCUCUUUUCCAUAAAAAAUGUAUUUUAAGACAUAUUGGUAUAAAGAUGAGAUUAUUCAUAGUACAUAUUAAAAUGUUUUCCCCUACCUAAAAGUUUGUGGUUUUAUUGUCUUCUUGUUUUUAAAAUAAAUUAAAAUAUUUUCAAAGGCCGUUAGAAGAACCGUGGGCCCUGGGCUUGGUGCCUGCUGUGCCUCAUAAAUCAGGCCUGGAGAAGAGACAUCAGUGACAUUUUAGUGUCAGGUAGAAAAUGUAAAAUAUCAUGAUUGUUUUCCAAUGAUAUACUAAGUAAGACACAUAAGAUGUGUUUUAAUUUUUUUCUUGAUGUAUGCUGUUGUCUUUUAGUUAUAAAUGCUGAGUACUGUUAAAAGAUAAACUGAGGCACAAUAAAAUUUGAAGAGUUUAUUUGAGCAAACAAUGAUUUGUUACCGAAACACCAGGGGUUCAUCUGGGUCCUGCUGCUUGCCACACAGAAAGCCAAUCACUGAG